AACGAACGCUGGCGGCAGGCCUAACACAUGCAAGUCGAACGCCGUAGCAAUACGGAGUGGCAGACGGGUGAGUAACGCGUGGGAACAUACCCUUCGGUUCGGAAUAACUCAGGGAAACUUGAGCUAAUACCGGAUACGUCCGAGGUCAAACUUGGAGAAAGAUUUAUCGCCGGAGGAUUGGCCCGCGUCUGAUUAGCUUGUUGGUGAGGUAAUGGCUCACCAAGGCGACGAUCAGUAGCUGGUCUGAGAGGAUGAUCAGCCACAUUGGGACUGAGACACGGCCCAAACUCCUACGGGAGGCAGCAGUGGGGAAUAUUGGACAAUGGGUAAAAGCCUGAUCCAGCCAUGCCGCGUGAGUGAUGAAGGCCCUAGGGUUGUAAAGCUCUUUUACCCGGGAAGAUAAUGACGGUACCGGGAGAAUAAAGCCCCGGCUAACUUCGUGCCAGCAGCCGCGGUAAC
rnacentral:rRNA from 1 species